GAUGAAGAACGCAGCGAAAUGCGAUAAGUAAUGUGAAUUGCAGAAUUCAGUGAAUCAUCGAAUCUUUGAACGCACAUUGCGCCCGCCAGUAUUCUGGCGGGCAUGCCUGUCCGAGCGUCAUUUCAACCCUCGAACCCCUCCGGGGGGUCGGCGUUGGGGAUCGGCCCUGCCUCUUGGCGGUGGCCGUCUCCGAGAUACAGUGGCGGUCUCGCCGCAGCCUCUCCUGCGCAGUAGUUUGCACACUCGCAUCGGGAGCGCGGCGCGUCCACAGCCGUUAAACACCCAACUUCUGAAAUGUUGACCUCGGAUCAGGUAGGAAUACCCGCUGAACUUAAGCAUAUCAAUAAGCGGAGGA
rnacentral:misc_RNA from 1 species